rnacentral:rRNA from 1 species
GACGAACGCUGGCGGCGUGCUUAAUACAUGCAAGUCGAACGGAAAGGCCCUGCUUUUGUGGGGUGCUCGAGUGGCGAAAGGGUGAGUAACACGUGAGUAACCUGUCCCUGACUUUGGGAUAACUUCAGGAAACUGGGGCUAAUACCGGAUAGGAGCUCCUGAUGCACGGUGGGGGUUGGAAAGAUUCGGCGGUUGGGGAUGGACUCGCGGCUUAUCAGCUUGUUGGUGGGGUAGUGGCUUACCAAGGCUUUGACGGGUAGCCGGCCUGAGAGGGUGACCGGCCACAUUGGGACUGAGAUACGGCCCAGACUCCUACGGGAGGCAGCGGUGGGGAAUAUUGCACAAUGGGCGGAAGCCUGAUGCAGCAACGCCGCGUGCGGGAUGACGGCCUUCGGGUUGUAAACCGCUUUCGCCUGUGACGAAGCGUGAGUGACGGUAAUGGGUAAAGAAGCACCGGCUAACUACGUG